CACGUUUCCUGCCGUUUGGAAUAAAACUGGCCCUUGUAGGAGCGUGGGGGGUGCAGCGUGUGUAACAGAGCCAGCGCCUUGGGGCUUUUCCCUUGGGCGUAGGAAGCCAACCAGAGCUCUGUUGCCCUCGGCGUCCACCCAGGUCCGUUCUGUCACCACCGCUGCCUGCCUGCCUGCCUUGGGGGCGGGACUUCAGCGGCAGGCGGGCUCGGCGCUGCCGAAGGCGGCUACCCGCGGCGUGGGUUAGACGCUGCUGGCGGAGACCCGCCUGCACCGACCCAGCCAGCCCCCGGGCCCAGCCCGGCUGCCGCUUCCUCGUCUCCGGGCUCUGGAGCACUGCCAGCACUGAGCUCACCCGGAAAGGAAGUGCAGGCAGUGGGGAGGAAGUGCCUGACUGCAGACAGUAACAUGAUGCAGCUACAGCAGCAGGACUGUUUUUCUUCUGAAAGACAGCCAGGUAGCACCAGAAGAAUUCAUCAGAAGAAGAAACUUUGUAUGAGAAAAAAGAAAGGUGCCUCGGAUUAGGCCUCAGUUGGUUCAAAAAGGGCCAAAAACUCUUCCUCCAAGAAAAUCAAGCUUGUCUGCAAAGAGUUAUCCAACCAUCCACCUUAGAGAUGCAAUACUCAGAAGAAUCGAAAAAACCUUCUGCAAGGGACAGAUGGACAACAGGACAGUGUGCUGCCUUCCUGGAGCCAAGACACAGGAUGCCACUCUAAGACUGGAUAGGCUUCUGAAGUUGAUAGGUGAGGAUCCACUGGCAGUUGUUCAUAUCGGCAAUAAUGACAGUGCAUUGCGGGAUAUCUUGCAGAUAGUAGAUGACUUCGAGGAAUUCAGAGGCAUGCUGAAGAAGAAUAAUUUUGAAAUGAUCGUGUCUGAGAUUCUUCAUGUUCUACAAGUGGAGGAAGACAGUCAGCAGAAGAUUGUUAGCUAGGUAAUCCUGAAACUUGGAAAAUCACAAAAGAAACAUGAGUGCCAGAGGACAAGCACACAAAGAUGAAUAUAGAUAAGUAUUUUUAAAAUCUACUGUGCAACUAUUACAUCUUUUGAAAAUGUAAAUAUACUUUUCACACAUGCAAAUAUUUACAUGUGUUUUGUCCACACUCUUUGAAAAUGGAGCCUUAGAGACGUAGAUUAAAUCCAUUGUAACAGAACUGUGACUAACUAGGAUUACAAUAAUCACUGUACUGUCCACUAUGGCCAAGUCUUAAAAUCAUGACUUCAAAAGUAUAGCCCCUUACCAGUCAAAUUAAAUGAGACUCUUCUUUCACAAAAAGGUGCAUAAUACCUGUGAACUGGUCUGAUCUUCCAUCCAAUUAGAGGUAGCUAGAACCCACUUGACUGAAAGGAGAGGUAGGCGUUGGCAGGACAUUUUCCAUGAAGAAUCCACAGCUAUGGAAUUUGCUUCCCCAUCAGAGCUCAGAUUUGUUAACUCCAGGAUGUGCUGUAUGACCCAUCUUUUCUUGGGCAUAGGGGAGCAAGCAGAUUAAGAUGUUGGGAUAUUUUGUGUUUGUGUUUGAGUGGUUAUUGGGGGGAGAGGCUAGUUUGAUUUUACUAUUUGU